CCUUCCGUAGGUGAACCUGCGGAAGGAUCAUUAAAGAGUAAGGGUGCUCAGCGCCCGACCUCCACCCUUUGUUGUUAAAACUACCUUGUUGCUUUGGCGGGACCGUUCGGACUCGAGCCGCUGGGGAUUCGUCCCAGGCGAGCGCCCCCAAGUUAAACCAAACUCUUGUUAUUUAACCGGUCGUCUGAGUUAAAAUUUUGAAUAAAUCAAAACUUUCAACAACGGAUCUCUUGGUUCUCGCAUCGAUGAAGAACGCAGCGAAAUGCGAUAAGUAAUGUGAAUUGCAGAAUUCAGUGAAUCAUCGAAUCUUUGAACGCACAUUGCGCCCCUUGGUAUUCCGAGGGGCAUGCCUGUUCGAGCGUCAUUACACCACUCAAGCUAUGCUUGGUAUUGGGCGUCGUCCUUAGUUGGGCGCGCCUUAAAGACCUCGGCGAGGCCACUCCGGCUUUAGGCGUAGUAGAAUUUAUUCGAACGUCUGUCAAAGGAGAGGAACUCUGCCGACUGAAACCUUUAUUUUUCUAGGUUGACCUCGGAUCAGGUAGGGAUACCCGCUGAACUUAAGCAUAUCAAUAAGCGGAGGAA
rnacentral:rRNA from 1 species